UGGGGAAUUUUCCGCAAUGGGCGAAAGCCUGACGGAGCAAGACCGCGUGAGGGAGGAAGGCCUUUGGGUUGUAAACCUCUUUUCUCAGGGAAGAAGACAGUGACGGUACCUGAGGAAUCAGCCUCGGCUAACUCCGUGCCAGCAGCCGCGGUAAUACGGAGGAGGCAAGCGUUAUCCGGAAUUAUUGGGCGUAAAGCGUCCGCAGGUGGUUGGUCAAGUCCGCUGUCAAAGACCGGGGCUCAACCCUGGGCAGGCAGUAGAAACUGACGAACUAGAGUUCGGUAGGGGUAGAGGGAAUUCCCAGUGUAGCGGUGAAAUGCGUAGAGAUUGGGAAGAACACCAGUGGCGAAAGCGCUCUACUGGGCCGAGACUGACACUCAGGGACGAAAGCUAGGGGAGCGAAAGGGAUUAGAUACCCCUGUAGUCC
rnacentral:rRNA from 1 species